rnacentral:rRNA from 1 species
GACGAACGCUGGCGGCGUGCCUAAUACAUGCAAGUUGAGCGCUGAAGGUUGGUACUUGUACCAACUGGAUGAGCAGCGAACGGGUGAGUAACGCGUGGGGAAUCUGCCUUUGAGCGGGGGACAACAUUUGGAAACGAAUGCUAAUACCGCAUAAAAACUUUAAACACAAGUUUUAAGUUUGAAAGAUGCAAUUGCAUCACUCAAAGAUGAUCCCGCGUUGUAUUAGUUAGUUGGUGAGGUAAAGGCUCACCAAGGCGAUGAUACAUAGCCGACCUGAGAGGGUGAUCGGCCACAUUGAGACUGAGACACGGCCCAAACGCCUAGGGGAGGCAGCAGUAGGGAAUCUUCGGCAAUGGGCGAGAGUCUGACCGAGCAACGCCGCGUGAGUGAGGAAGGUUUUCGGAUCGUAAAACUCUGUUGGUAGAGAAGAACGUUGGUGAGAGUGGAAAGCUCAUCAAGUGACGGUAACUACCCAGAAAGGGACGGCUAACUACGUG